rnacentral:tRNA from 1 species
GUGGGUGUAGCUCAGUUGGUAGAGCACCGGAUUGUGGUUCCGGCUGUCGGGGGUUCAAGUCCCCUCACUCACCCCA